UUGGUAAUGAAAUGAGUAAUCCAAAUCGUUUAUCUAGUUUAUUUUGCCUGUAUUGGCGACUUUGAAGCAUUAUAUAACUUUUCGGUAAUCUGGAAAAGUGAUACAAAGCGAAAUGUUGGCCAGCCAAUGUUAAUAUUUGUUCAAAACAGUGAGUCAUAUAAACUGGGAUUUCCUCUUUAGGCUGCUUUUUACUGGCAUAUUGUCUAGAGUCUCAGUAUAGUUUGAUGCCAUAAUCCCCACUUAGAGUGUGCAGGAAUGCUUUGUUCGGGUUAGUGGGCGACAUCUCUGUCGUGAUACUCCUGUUGGAGAGCGAAUUUACUUUGGUUGCACUUGGAGGACUAAAUAAUCUCAUCAGCGGUGACCUGGCCUGGAUUCUGCUCCAGCCGCCUGGAAGACACCCCUCCAGCCAUCAUGUUGACUCACACUCUGUCGUCUUCAGGGACCUGAGCGACGAGAAAACGAAAUCUUAGAAAGCUGGGUUUGCCGGACACGACAUAGUUGAGAAGAAUCCACCUCAUGACCCCAAGUCUUGGGAACUAUUUUUUGCACCUGGAGCCAUAAAACCAAAGAUCUCUAGGAUUCAGCCUGGUGAUAUAAAUGGAUGAGGUAAAUAAGUAUCUCUCACAGUGCAAUAAUCAAGAUUUCAGCCAGAGUUGGAAUAUCAUCCAAAGGCUGGAUGUGCAAUGGACCUUCUUCCAAACUCACAUGGUGAUUGCAGAAUUGAAUUCUUCCAGGGAGUUUGGGUUAAAUGCCCUGACCUUUCUUAAUUCCUUGAGUGUGGACCUCUCCAACAUGACAGCUUGCUUCAUCAAAUUAUGUAAGCCAACAAGGCAAUAUAGAGUCUACCAGUAAGAUGUAAAAUACAGUUUUGUGUAACCUAAGACUCAGUAGUGACAUAUCAUUUGUUUUCCCUCCUACUAAUUAGAAACAAGACACAAGUCGCACCUACCGGCAGCACCUAAUACGAAGAUGUGAAUACAAAGAAGUUGGGA
rnacentral:lncRNA from 1 species